rnacentral:rRNA from 1 species
GACGAACGCUGGCGGCGUGCUUAACACAUGCAAGUCGAACGGAAAGGCCCUGCUUUUGUGGGGUGCUCGAGUGGCGAACGGGUGAGUAACACGUGAGUAACCUGCCCUUGACUUUGGGAUAACUUCAGGAAACUGGGGCUAAUACCGGAUAGGAUCUCCUGCUGCAUGGUGGGGGUUGGAAAGUUUCGGCGGUUGGGGAUGGACUCGCGGCUUAUCAGCUUGUUGGUGGGGUAGUGGCUUACCAAGGCUUUGACGGGUAGCCGGCCUGAGAGGGUGACCGGCCACAUUGGGACUGAGAUAGGGCCCAGACUCCUACGGGAGGCAGCAGUGGGGAAUAUUGCACAAUGGGCGGAAGCCUGAUGCAGCAACGCCGGGUGCGGGAUGACGGCCUUCGGGUUGUAAACCGCUUUCGCCUGUGACGAAGCGUGAGUGACGGUAAUGGGUAAAGAAGCACCGGCUAACUACGUG